rnacentral:rRNA from 1 species
GACGAACGCUGGCGGCGCGCCUAACACAUGCAAGUCGAACGGAGGUAUUGAGACAGAAGCUUCGGCGGAAGACUUAAUACCUUAGUGGCGAACGGGUGAGUAACGCGUGAGCAACCUGCCUUACAGAGGGGGACAACAGUUGGAAACGACUGCUAAUACCGCAUAACGUACCGGAAGGACAUCCUUUUGGUACCAAAGGAGCAAUCCGCUGUAAGAUGGGCUCGCGUCCGAUUAGAUAGUUGGUGAGGUAACGGCCCACCAAGUCGACGAUCGGUAGCCGGACUGGGAGGUUGAACGGCCACAUUGGGACUGAGACACGGCCCAG